GUGAGGGAGGGAAGUUAUGGGGUGAUGGAGGGAUCCUAUGGGGGAAGGAAGGGAUCUAUGGGGUGAGGGUGGGAUCCUAUGGGGGAAGGGAGGGGGCUAUGGGGGGAGGGAGGAAUCUAUAGGGGGAGAGAGGGAACCUAUGGGGUGAUGGAGGGAUCCUACGGGGAAGGAAGGGAACCUAUGGGGUGAUGGAGGGGUCUAUGGGGGGAGGGAGGGAUCCUAUGGGGAGAGGGAACCUAUGGGGGGAGUGAGGGAUCCUAUGGGGGGAGGGAGGGGUCUAUGGGGGGAGGGAGGGGUCUGUUGGGUUGUGGGAUGGAUCCCGAUGGCCGUUGGGUUAUGGGACGGAUGGGUCCCUGUGGCCGUUGUAUUAUGGGAUGGCAGACCCCCCACCUGUCCGUUGUAUUAUGGGAUGGCAGACCCCCCCGUCCGUUGUAUUAUGGGAUGGCAGCCCCCCCCCCCGUCCAUUGUAUUAUGGGAUGGAAGACCCCCCAUCCGUGUGGUUAUGGGAUGGAUCCCAAUGGCUGUUGGGUUACGGGAUGGAUGGGUCCCCCUGACUGUAGUGUUAUGGGAUGGAUGGAUCCCAAUGGCUGUGGCGUUAUGGGAUGGAAGGCCCCCCCGUCCGUUGUAUUAUGGGAUGGCAGACCCCCCACCCGUCUGUUGUAUUAUGGGAUGGCAGACCCCCCAUCCGCGUGGUUAUGGGAUGGAUCCCCCUGACUGCUGGGUUAUGGGAUGGAUGGAUCCCAAUGGCUGUGGGGUUAUGGGAUGGAUGGGUCCCCCUGGCUGUGGUGUUAUGGGAUGGCACCCCCCCCAUCCGUUGUAUUAUGGGACGGCAGCCCCCCCCCAUCCAUGUGGUUAUGGGCUGGCACCCCCCCAGCACAGUGUCCUGGCGCACCUUGUCGUGGUCCCCCCGUCUGUUGUAUUAUGGGAUGGCAGACCCCCCCGUCCGUUGUAUUAUGGGAUGGAUCCCCCUGACUGCUGGGUUAUGGGAUGGAUGGAUCCCAAUGGCUGUGGGGUUAUGGGAUGGAUGGGUCCCCCUGGCUGCUGGGUUAUGGGAUGGAUCCCAAUGGUUGUGGGGUUAUGGGAUGGAUCCCAAUGGUUGUGGGGUUAUGGGAUGGAUGGGUCCCCCUGGCUGUUGUAUUAUGGGAUGGAUCCCAAUGGCUGUGGGGUUAUGGGAUGGAUCCCAAUGGCUGUGGGGUUAUGGGAUGGAUCCCAAUGGCUGUGGGGUUAUGGGAUGGAUCCCAAUGGCUGUGGGGUUAUGGGAUGGAUGGGUCCCCCCGUCCGUUGUAUUAUGGGAUGGCAGCCCCCCCCAUCCAUGUGGUUAUGGGAUGG
rnacentral:lncRNA from 7 species